rnacentral:rRNA from 1 species
UACGACGGGGGCUAGCGUUGUUCGGAAUUACUGGGCGUAAAGCGCGCGCAGGCGGUUCUCCAAGUCAGUGGUGAAAGCCCGGAGCUCAACUCCGGAAUUGCCAUUGAAACUGUUGAACUUGAGGACGAGAGAGGUGAGUGGAAUUCCCAGUGUAGAGGUGAAAUUCGUAGAUAUUGGGAAGAACACCGGUGGCGAAGGCGGCUCACUGGCUCGUUUCUGACGCUCAGGCGCGACAGCGUGGGGAUCAAACAGG